CCUACGGGUGGCAGCAGUGAGGAAUAUUGGUCAAUGGCCGGGAGGCUGAACCAGCCAAGUCGCGUGAGGGAAGACGGCCCUACGGGUUGUAAACCUCUUUUGUCAGGGAGCAAGGUGCAGGUCGGGACCUGCUGUGAGAGUACCUGAAGAAAAAGCAUCGGCUAACUCCGUGCCAGCAGCCGCGGUAAUACGGAGGAUGCGAGCGUUAUCCGGAUUUAUUGGGUUUAAAGGGUGCGCAGGCGGAGGCACAAGUCAGCGGUAAAAUCGCGGGGCUCAACCCCGCUCCGCCGUUGAAACUGUGUCCCUUGAGUGCGCGAAGGGUAGGCGGAAUGCGUGGUGUAGCGGUGAAAUGCAUAGAUAUCACACAGAACACCGAUUGCGAAGGCAUCUCACGAAUCCGCGAUUGACGCUGAUGCACGAAAGCGUGGGUAUCAAACAGGAUUAGAUACCCGGGUAGUC
rnacentral:rRNA from 1 species